GAGGUCGUGAGAUUAAUAUACAGUGCACCCUUUUUUAAAUAACUACAUUAUCAUACUAUCACUUUAAGUCCAUAAAGAGUAGUAUUACAUAAUUCAUUUGAUGUGAAAUAUCUAAUCUAAAUAUGGUCCCCUUUGUGCCGAUCCAUGUUCUAAAGUUUUUUCAUUUCUCCCCCCUUCCAUUGUAUUUCAGUAGUUUGUUUCAACUUAAUCCAUCUGACUGAUUUCUAGAAAUACAACAAUUCAGGGUCAGUUUUAAAAUAUUU
rnacentral:lncRNA from 1 species